UGUAAAAAACGGUAUUAGGUAAAAUAACGGAUCGACCGGAUUGUAUGCAUAAAAUAUUUUCAAAUCGCAAUCAUAUAAUAUUAUAAUAUAGAUUUUUUAUAGAUUUUUCUAAAACGAGAAAAAAUAAUUUUAAACAUCAUUCUUGAUUUAAUAUCAUUUAAAAUCGAUCAAUUCAAACAAAAAUGUUUUGAUAAUGCUAGUUAUUAUAACGUUAAAUCAAUAAUGCCUUCUAAAUGUGAUCACGUCAUUAUGAAUAAUGACUAGUUAUCUGUCUAUUAUUUUACAUUUCAAUAUCUCGGACGACAUAAAUAUAAUUGUUAUUUUUAAUUUCGACAAUUAUUAAUAAUAUCUAUUUAGGUAAUUGCAGUCAGUGAUCAAUUUAUAUGAUGUGUAUGUCCAGAGAUAAUAAAUACACAAAUGGAACAUUAAAUUAAGGGCAUGACACUCGUUAUAAUUAUAUUCUAUCAUGAUAUUAUAUUGCGUAUUUAAAUAUUAUUAUAAAUUUAUAAAAUCCAACUCCAUGGACGAUCAGUAUAAUAAUAAGUCGAACAUCAGUGAUUCAAUAAACGUCUAAUCGGUACGGUUCUACUGAAACACAUCUAACGACCAGAACGAUGAGAUUUCCGUUAGCAAUUAUUUUGGCGUUCGUAGUUUUAGCCAUCGUUAUAGAUGUCCCGUACGUGAAUGCAAAAAAUAUCCCGACUACGACCGAUGAUGAAAAUCAUUUGAAAACUAUGUCAUACCAUAAUACUGAUCAAACGACAGACGAAAACAUCACAUCAAAAAAUGAUCAUACCAAUAAACCCUGCCAUAACAAACACGCACCAUGCAGGUUCACUCCUUCGGCCUCUAUAGAGGAUACGGAAUCGCCGAUGAGACUACGAAAAUGCCCAAAUGGACAUUAUUAUCAUCAGAAAUUUGGAUGCGUGAAAAUGAUGUCUUAAAUAUAAUAUUAUAUAAUUUAUCUACGUUAAUAUAAAAUAAUAUAUACAUAUAAAAUAUAAUUUAUAUUACCUAUCAUAUUGUUAGUUGUUAAAAUCUUAUUUUUAUGUUAUUAAUGUUACAAUUAUAGCGUGUUUGCUGUCAUUUGGUUCAAAAAAUCAAAACGAAUAGUAAUGACUCAACAUUUAUAAGUAAUAAUUGAUAUAGUUAAAUAUCUUAAUUUCAAAUUCAGAAUUCAUAUUUAUGAUAUAUUUUAUAAGAUUAUGGUAAUAUUAAAUAAUGUUUGUAUUCAAUUUUAAUACAUUAUAAUUUAUAACUCAAUUUGUAUCAAUAAAUAGUUUUUAAUUUUUCUUUGAUUAAAUCAUUUUUCUUUGUAAGGCCUGCUUAAUUGCGAACUUUGUUAUUUACCAAAUAAAUUUGGUUGUAAUAUAUACUUUUAAUCAUUAUUAGCUAUCAAAAAUAUAAUCUGAAAGUAGUGUUGUAAAUGUAUUUUGUCACAUAAUGAUUACAAUUACAAAUAAUAACAAUAAAUAAAAUUAUGUUGGCAAUGAACUUUCUAGAAGAAUAAUUAACAUUUAUCUAAGAAUUAAAUAAAUGUGUUACAAUUAUUAAUUAAUUAUUAUAUUACUGCAAUAAACUAAUGUGGCAAAAUAAUAUAAAAUAAAAAAUGAAUUUUUGAAAUCGAACAAAUUUAAAAAUUAAUGACCUUUAAAAAUGCAUAAAUUGUACACAACAUCUUCCAACAUCUUUAACUAUUUUUCCAGUAGGCACUAGCUUUAUGAUUUGUCACCUUGUUAAAAUUUCAUCAUUUAAUUUUAAAUUAAUUGGAAAAUAUUAUAUUUAAUUUAGUUUUUAAGAAUAUUUUAAGUUGUUAUGCAAACCAUAAUCGUAAAAAAAGUUAUUUGCAUUUAUUAUCUCUCACCGCAUAAUAUCCUCUCUCAAAAUUCAGUGUAAGUAGUUGUAAAUUCAAAAUGUUAUUAAUUUAAAAUCCAUUUAUAAAUCUUAUGAAAAUUUAUAUUUUAUAUAAUUGUUCUCAUUAUUUUUGAUGCAACGCAAUUAACUAUAAAAUAAAUUUUGCUUAUUGUUUACUCACUAAUUAAUUUUAUUUUUUAUUUAUUAUUCUUUUCCAAAUGCGUGAUUAUUCAGAAUUAAAUUUUAGUGGUAUUGGUGUAGAUAAUUAAAUAAACACAAACUUUUCAAUGUAUAAGAGUGGCUUCUAAAUGCUGUGACAUAUUGUCAAACCUCAAUGUGUGUUAAAAAAAAAAAAAAAAGCCAAACAUAAAAUCUCAGAGAGUUACAGUGAUGAUAGUCCACGAAAUCUAUUUUUCAGUUUAAACGACAUUGUUAAUAAUAUUUAAUACAAUUUUUUAAAUACAAUUACAGUAUUAUAUAGAAAUAUUAUUUUUAAACAGCAAAACAUCUUGUUUUUAUUUUUUAUUUUUGACCAAACUAAUGUAAUAUUAUUAUUUCUAGCUUGAUAUAAAUGAUGAGCUUUUAGCUUUGUAUCUGUUCAUUGUGACAUUUUAAACGUACGUGAAAAUAAAUUUUCCCAUUAUUAUUUAA